rnacentral:lncRNA from 1 species
GUUUGAUUGUUUUGCCUUUGCUUGUGAGUAUGCUUGAGGAUUAGCUUUGGAGCUACCUCGUUUCCUUUAUGAUGGAGUCUAGUUCUAGAGCUCUGAUUUGGGUUGCAGUCUUUUGUCGUUUAUUUUUCAUGUCUUUAUGAGAUUUUUCACUCAUAUUGAUGAGAUUGGAGAUUUUAUUUGGUGAUGUAUUAGGGUACACGUGACAUGGCUACUUAAAUGGUUUUAUUAUGUGAUGAUGAGAUGUUAUGAUGUUAUUUCGCUGCGAAUUUUGACAAAUUAGUUAUACAUGUUUUGGAUUAAUUGAAGAUGUAGCAUCUAGUCUCUUUGAAUGAUUACAUUAUUUGCAUGAUUUAUCGGUUAAAAGGUUUAGGGUGUUACAAGAUAGACAAUAGCUUUCUAGAACUUCCAUAACUUCCCAGGCAUCAUUGAUAAACCUGUAAAAUCAAUAACAUGGUGACAACAUUU